GACAGAGGGUGCAAACGUUGCUCGGAAUCACUGGGCGUAAAGGGCGUGUAGGCGGGAAUGUAAGUCGGGCGUGAAAUCCCUAGGCUCAACCUAGGAACUGCACUCGAAACUGCGUUUCUUGAGUACUGGAGAGGAAAGCGGAAUACCUGGUGUAGAGGUGAAAUUCGUAGAUAUCAGGUGGAACACCAGCGGCGAAGGCGGACUUUCUGGACAGUAACUGAC
rnacentral:rRNA from 1 species